GAGCGUUACACCCUCAUUCUGCUACUGCAAUGCUAGCUAGUCUGUCAUAUGUGUGAUGUUUUCCGAAGCGGCUGUCAGUCUCAGAGCUGUCUGCUUAAACGUCUAACAGCAGAUCCUCCUGCUGACGAGGAAGAGGAAGUUAAGGAGCAGCGGUUGAGUUAACUAUUGAGUCCUACUCUUCACCUCAGACAGCCAGAAAUCCCAGCCUUGUAGGCGCGAUGGCGUCCCCCUUUUUCCUCGGCCUAACGGGAUUAGUCGUGCCAGUGCUACCCCGGCUGUCACGAGGUGCAGCAGGAUCUGCAGUCUGUGAUGUUGCCUCAGGGAGAGAUUAGGAGGGGCAGCCGGCCCUCUGUGUCACGUCGACAGUCACAGCGCCCAUCCACGGCUGGGCCAAACCCCACUGGGACCUUAAAUCCUGUUACACUGUCAGCUAAAACCAUCAUUUGUAUUAGAGAUGUGUGGGUGUUUAAGUGUGUGUACAUAUUAAGUGAGGGGGGAUAGUGUCUUAAACUAUGAAUUAUUCAUACCAAAAAGAAAAGGAGAUAUUGACUACAUCUCCAUAAACAGA